rnacentral:rRNA from 1 species
UACGUAGGGGGCGAGCGUUGUCCGAAAUUACUGGGCGUAAAGAGCGCGUAGGCGGGUCUUUAAGUGAGUGGUGAAAGGUUCGGGCUCAACCCGGACACUGCCUUUCAUGCUGGGGACCUUGAGUGCGGGAGGGGCGAGUGGAAUGGUCGGUGUAGCGGUGAAAUGCGUAGAUAUCGAUCGGAACACCCAUGGCGAAGGCAGCUCGCUGGCCUGCAACUGACGCUGAGGCGCGAAAGCUGGGGGAGCAAACAGG